GAAGCAAUGGAAUUAGGGAAUA
rnacentral:piRNA from 1 species